UAGAGUUUGAUCCUGGCUCAGGACGAACGCUGGCGGCGUGCCUAAUACAUGCAAGUUGAGCGCUGAAGGUUGGUACUUGUACCAACUGGAUGAGCAGCGAACGGGUGAGUAACGCGUGGGGAAUCUGCCUUUGAGCGGGGGACAACAUUUGGAAACGAAUGCUAAUACCGCAUAAAAACUUUAAACACAAGUUUUAAGUUUGAAAGAUGCAAUUGCAUCACUCAAAGAUGAUCCCGCGUUGUAUUAGCUAGUUGGUGAGGUAAAGGCUCACCAAGGCGAUGAUACAUAGCCGACCUGAGAGGGUGAUCGGCCACAUUGGGACUGAGACACGGCCCAAACUCCUACGGGAGGCAGCAGUAGGGAAUCUUCGGCAAUGGACGAAAGUCUGACCGAGCAACGCCGCGUGAGUGAAGAAGGUUUUCGGAUCGUAAAACUCUGUUGGUAGAGAAGAACGUUGGUGAGAGUGGAAAGCUCAUCAAGUGACGGUAACUACCCAGAAAGGGACGGCUAACUACGUGCCAGCAGCCGCGGUAAUACGUAGGUCCCGAGCGUUGUCCGGAUUUAUUGGGCGUAAAGCGAGCGCAGGUGGUUUAUUAAGUCUGGUGUAAAAGGCAGUGGCUCAACCAUUGUAUGCAUUGGAAACUGGUAGACUUGAGUGCAGGAGAGGAGAGUGGAAUUCCAUGUGUAGCGGUGAAAUGCGUAGAUAUAUGGAGGAACACCGGUGGCGAAAGCGGCUCUCUGGCCUGUAACUGACACUGAGGCUCGAAAGCGUGGGGAGCAAACAGGAUUAGAUACCCUGGUAGUCCACGCCGUAAACGAUGAGUGCUAGAUGUAGGGAGCUAUAAGUUCUCUGUAUCGCAGCUAACGCAAUAAGCACUCCGCCUGGGGAGUACGACCGCAAG
rnacentral:rRNA from 1 species